rnacentral:rRNA from 1 species
CGCUGGCGGCGUGCCUAAUACAUGCAAGUCGAACGAACGGAUAAAGAGCUUGCUCUUUUGAAGUCAGUGGCGGACGGGUGAGUAACACGUGGGUAACCUGCCUCACAGCUGGGGAUAACAUCGAGAAAUCGAUGCUAAUACCGAAUGUGCUGAACAUCAUAAGAUGUUCAAGUGAAAGACGGUUUCGGCUGUCACUGUGAGAUGGACCCGCGCUGGAUUAGCUAGUUGGUAAGGUAAUGGCUUACCAAGGCGACGAUCCAUAGCCGACCUGAGAGGGUGAUCGGCCACAUUGGGACUGAGACACGGCCCAAACUCCUACGGGAGGCAGCAGUAGGGAAUCUUCGGCAAUGGACGAAAGUCUGACCGAGCAACGCCGCGUGAGCGAAGAAGGCCUUCGGGUCGUAAAGCUCUGUUGUUAGAGAAGAACAUGGGUGAGAGUAACUGUUCACCCCUUGACGGUAUCUAACCAGAAAGCCACGGCUAACUACGUG